CCUACGGGUGGCAGCAGUCGAGAAUCAUUCACAAUGGGGGAAACCCUGAUGGUGCGACGCCGCGUGGGGGAAUGAAGGUCUUCGGAUUGUAAACCCCUGUCAUGUGGGAGCAAAUUAAAAAGAUAGUACCACAAGAGGAAGAGACGGCUAACUCUGUGCCAGCAGCCGCGGUAAUACAGAGGUCUCAAGCGGUGUUCGGAAUCACUGGGCGUAAAGCGUGCGUAGGCUGUUUCGUAAGUCGUGUGUGAAAGGCGCGGGCUCAACCCGCGGACGGCACAUGAUACUGCGAGACUAGAGUAAGGGAGGGGGAACCGGAAUGCUCGGUGUAGCAGUGAAAUGCGUAGAUAUCGAGAGGAACACUCGUGGCGAAGGCAGGUUCCUGGACAUUAACUGACGCUGAGGCACGAAGGCCAGGGGAGCGAAAGGGAUUAGAUACCCUUGUAGUC
rnacentral:rRNA from 1 species